CGGGGCGUGGCGCAGCUUGGUAGCGUGCAUCGUUCGGGACGAUGAGGUCGGAGGUUCUAAUCCUCUCGCCCCGA
rnacentral:tRNA from 1 species